GGCUGGCAAGGCAUAAAUCGAGAUUGGGAAGUGGACUCUUAGGAGUAAGACAUCAAGAUUCUUCCUGUGCCUUAGUCCUUCCUGUCAUUAGUUGGUAGGUGAGAUGAGGAAGUAAUCAUGGUCAUUGGUGCUGUUGUUCACUUGCUGAGGUGCCAAGGACACCCAUCUGUCAAGACAAUGUGUAGGAUGCUGAUCAAGCCUGGAGCCCCUGCCGCUGAGCACCCCGCUGGGGACUGAAGAUGCCACUUCAAUGAGAGUGUGCCUGCCUGAUGGUGCACUGUGGUUUGGGAAGGGAUUGCAAUCCAUCUUUCCCCUGGAAAAAAAGGCUUUCAUUGCAGCAGGAAAAAGGGCACAGAAAAUUGCCUUGAUCUUCACAAUAAGGGAUGCAACCUGAGUAUUUCAUAACAGAAACUCAUUUUGAAAGAUCAUUUCAUUUUGGACUAUGCCAAACCAAAGCAAUUGAUUUUUUAAUAGAAUCAAAAUAACCACCCCACACUUGAGACCUAUUGAGGGUAGGUCUAAAAAGGAG
ensembl:lncRNA